AAUCAACGCUGGCGGCGUGCCUAACACAUGCAAGUCGAGCGCGAAAGGGGACUUCGGUUCCUGAGUAGAGCGGCGGACGGGUGAGUAACACGUGGGCAACCUAUCUCCGGGUGGGGAAUAACUUCGGGAAACCGGAGCUAAUUCCGCAUAACAUUUCGGGCUCAUAAGAGUCUGUAAUCAAAGCUGGGGACCCUUCGGGGCCUGGCGCCUGGUGAGGGGCCCGCGGCCGAUUAGCUUGUUGGUGAGGUAAAGGCUCACCAAGGCUGCGAUUGGUAGCCGGCCUGAGAGGGCGGACGGCCACACUGGGACUGAGACACGGCCCAGACUCCUACGGGAGGCAGCAGUGGGGAAUUUUUGUCAAUGGGGGAAACCCUGAACAAGCAACGCCGCGUGGAGGAUGAAGGUCUUCGGGUCGUAAACUCCUGUCGGAGGGGACGAAAGCGAUUGAGGUUAAUACCCUCAGUUGUUGACGGUACCCUAUGAGGAAGCCCCGGCUAACUCCGUG
rnacentral:rRNA from 1 species